GCUCCGAUAGCCUAAUGGCUAGACCGCUGGUCUACCAAGCGAGUGGCCUGGGUUCGAGUCCCAGUCGGAGCG